GACGAACGCUGGCGGCGUGCUUAACACAUGCAAGUGGAGCGACGAACCAGGGCUUGCCCUGGGGCAGAGCCGCGAACGGGUGAGUAACACGUGGGUAACCUGCCUCGAUGGUCAGGACAACCCGGGGAAACCCGGGCUAAUACCGAAUGUGCUCCGACCACAUCAGUGGACGGCGUAAAGGAAGCUUCGGCCUCCGCAUCGAGAUGGGCCCGCGGCCCAUUAGCUUGUUGGUGGGGUAAAGGCCCACCAAGGCUUCGAUGGGUAGCUGGUCUGAGAGGACGAUCAGCCACACUGGGACUGAGACACGGCCCAGACUCCUACGGGAGGCAGCAGUGGGGAAUCUUGCGCAAUGCGCGAAAGCGUGACGCAGCAACGCCGCGUGGGGGAAGACGGCCUUAGGGUUGUAAACCCCUUUCAGGAGGGACGAAGGUCGGCGCGUUAAUAGCGUGUCCGACUGACGGUACCUCCACAAGAAGCCCCGGCUAACUACGUGCCAGCCGCCGCCGUAA
rnacentral:rRNA from 1 species